UACGUAGGGGGCAAGCGUUGUCCGGAAUCAUUGGGCGUAAAGCGCGCGUAGGCGGCCCGGUAAGUCCGUUGUGAAAGUCAAAGGCUCAACCUUUGAACGCCGAUGGAUACUGCCGGGCUAGAGUCCGGAAGAGGCGAGUGGAAUUCCUGGUGUAGCGGUGGAAUGCGCAGAUAUCAGGAGGAACACCAAUAGCGAAGGCGGCUCACUGGCCCGGUACUGACGCUGAGGUGCGAAAGCGUGGGGAGCAAACAGG
rnacentral:rRNA from 1 species